rnacentral:rRNA from 1 species
AUUGAACGCUGGCGGCAUGCCUUACACAUGCAAGUCGAACGGCAGCACGGGGGCAACCCUGGUGGCGAGUGGCGAACGGGUGAGUAAUGCAUCGGAACGUGCCCAGUAGUGGGGGAUAACCCGGCGAAAGCCGGGCUAAUACCGCAUACGACCCAAGGGUGAAAGCGGGGGGCCGUAAGGCCUCGCGCUAUUGGAGCGGCCGAUGUCUGAUUAGCUAGUUGGCGGGGUAAGAGCCCACCAAGGCGACGAUCAGUAGCUGGUCUGAGAGGACGACCAGCCACACUGGGACUGAGACACGGCCCAGACUCCUACGGGAGGCAGCAGGGGGGAAUUUUGGACAAUGGGCGCAAGCCUGAUCCAGCCAUGCCGCGUGCGGGAAGAAGGCCUUCGGGUUGUAAACCGCUUUUGGCAGGAACGAAACGGCGCAAGCCAAUACCUUGCGCUAAUGACGGUACCUGCAGAAUAAGCACCGGCUAACUACGUGCCAGCCGCCGCAGUAACAC